ensembl:lncRNA
GGUUUGGUGGCGGCAGGGCCGACGGACUGCGGGGGAAAGUGAGGCAUUGCCCAUGGCAAUUAAAAAAAAUAAAUAAAUAAAAAUCGGUUGAAUUAUCCACCAGCCCAUAGUGUUAGGAGUCGCACACGGCCACGUCUCCCCCCGUCAGCAAUUCAGCGCAGGGGGCUGGUAGGGGGAAUUCGGAGGGGGGGGGGGGGGGGGGGGGGGGGCCAUCAGUACCUCUUGUAUACAGGGCCCAGGAUUUGGUGCAACGGCCCUGGGUGGCGGUAAUGUGGAGUUGUAAAAGCGGCAAAGAAACUGUAUCAAGUAGGUCCGACCUUUUGCAUCACUACAAGUUAAAGCAUCCACAUUUUGGACGUAGUUCUCGCUUUCCAUGCACAUAUAAGACAUGGAAUGCCCUGAAUUCAGUUUGAAACCUGAAUCCUUUGUGCUUUUUUUGUGCUUGCUACUAUAGAUCAACGCUGAGUUUAAGAGAAUCACCACCGUUCCACUUCAAUCCAGGUUCCUGUCUCAGCUGGACGUUCACUCUGACAAACUGACGAGGCUGUUCCAAAGGAGAGGAGGACAUCUAGGGCAAAAGCUAAAAAAAACGCAAAAAUGGCAGAUUGUGAUGAUGUCGAUGUUGGACGGGAGUGUAUUAUCAAGGGAGUCUGCAUCUACAUGGGUGAAAAUCCAGAAAACCUUGUGCACGAAUACGCGGGCAUGGAUGGAGACGCCUUCAAUGCUGCUAUUUAAAAAACCUAGGUCGGGAUUUAUAAAAGAGAAUGAGGCAAGUGAAGAAUCUGAGGACAUUGGAGUUGUCCUCGAAGGCAUCAGGUUGUUAAGAGAUUUAGACAAUAUAGCAUUAGCGGUUGCUAUGCUUUUUGGACUGAUGUACGCACUGAACAUCAGCUACCCCGCCGACCUCCAGUACACCUUUGAGGUAGUACAGAAGAUACUAAUGGACAUGGAUGUGGGUAAACUUUCAAACAAAGUACUCGCACUGAAAAACCGUCUCUUCCAAUGAACGGGUCAAACAAAGCGCUGCCUCUCGGUAAACCUCAGAUGAUCACUGGCCUUAAUUUGUGUUAUUCAUUUCUGUUCCUUAUUUGGUGUAUAAACAUGUGUUGCUCUAGGUAUUCUAGGUUUAUAUUGAUAGUGAUAAGUUUAUUUUUUGUGUGUUGAGCCACUGCUGUGAUAGUAUCCAGUUUGUGUUCAGCCACUGCUGUUGAUGGUAUCCAGUUUGUGUGUUCAGCCAGCGCUGUUGAUGGUUAUCCUGUUUAGUGGAAGAGGCAAUGUGCUUGUUACUAUGUGAAUGGAUCUGCACUCUCCAUAUUUUGUACGGAAGCAAGUGUAUGUUUGUGAAUUACCAUAAUGUAUAGCUGUUGGCUAGUGACAUGUUGCAACACAAAGGGAGAGCGGUAAAAAAAUGGGCCAGAAAUUCCCAGUAUAUUGCCUUAUGUUCAGUCAGGGCCACUUCUGAUAACUUUGACUGUUCUAGGCAAAUACAUUUUUAUAUUGAGACAGCGAAAACAGUAAAUGUGGUAUUUGACAGUGAAUCCGCUGCUGUUGAUGCAGGGUAUCGAGUUUGAGUUUUGAUUCAUCUUGCAUCUGUUUACGGCAACUGCACAGAUUUGUCUGUUUUCCUGAAUGUUUUAAAGCUCAAUACAGAAAAUUUGAGUACAAAUGACUGACUCGACCGAUGUCCACAUUAAAAUCGAGUAAAUUCAAUGAAUUAUUUUUUUCAGUGUACAUACAUAUAGAUUCAUAUAAGUACAAAUACAUACCAAUCAUACCCCUACAUACGUCUACAAACAUUCACAUAGCUAUAUGUAUGCAUACACACAUAUAUACUCAUACAUACACAUGCAAACGCAUACGUACACAAACGUACAUAUGUGUAUGUAUACAUACGUACACAUACAUAAACAAGCAUAGGAAUAUAAGCAAACAUAAGCAUGGUAUGGCAG